GAUCCCCCGAAACUUGGAAGAGAAAGAUCUACGUCACCUAUUUGAGCAAUUUGGUAAAAUAUAUGAAUUCACAAUUCUUAAGGACAAAUAUACAGGUAAGCAGAAAAAUUAAACUUUUGUUUUUUUUUCAACAAAAAAUGUUUUUGAAAAAAAAAAUCCAAAAAAAAAAAAUUUUUUUGCUAGAUAAAAUUUCCCCACAAAAUUUUCUUACUACUACCAGAAGCCUGACAGGGUGUGGUUAGAGUACCGGAAUCACGGUUCAUUAGAAAUUGAAAUGCAUUCAGGUAUGCACAAAGGCUGCGCAUUUCUCACCUACUGCCAUCGAGACAGCGCCGUCCGCUGUCAGGCGACACUUCACGAUCAGAAAACGCUGCCUGGA
rnacentral:sRNA from 1 species